UUGACAAUCUGACCUCAAAUCAGGUAGGACUACCGCUGA
rnacentral:rRNA from 1 species